GAUGAGAAGGCUUUCUUUCCCCUUGUUAACAGAAGAAUCUUGCAUUGGAACCUGCAGUUUGUAGAGGUGACAACCAGAAGCCAUGUAGACCCAACAAGAAGAGGCAUCCUCAUUAACAUGGAGAGCAAGUCGAGUGGGCUGGAGAUUUCCAGGAGAAGGAUUCUCAAUCAGAGUUGAAGAGACAACGGCCUUACUCAGGCUUCUUGCCUCCAGCAUAGCAAAGUCUCUCUCCUUUGGACUUUCUUCUUUCUUGGGUGG
rnacentral:misc_RNA from 1 species